rnacentral:rRNA from 1 species
UUUUCGCAAUGGGGGGAACCCUGNCGAACAACGCCGCGUGGAGGAUGAAGGCCUUCGGGUCGUAAACUCCUGUCGACCGGGACGAAAGCUGAGUGGCCCAAUACGCCACCCAGCCGACUGUACCGGUGGAGGAAGCCACGGCUAACUCUGUGCCAGCAGCCGCGGUAAUACAGAGGUGGCAAGCGUUGUUCGGAAUUACUGGGCGUAAAGGGCGCGUAGGCGGCCGUGUAAGUCCCGUGUGAAAUCCCUCGGCUCAACNUGGGGAAUUGCACAGGAUACUGCGCGGCNUUGAGUUCGGGAGAGGGAAGCGGAAUUCCGGGUGUAGCGGUGAAAUGCGUAGAUAUCCGGAGGAACACCGGUGGCGAAGGCGGCUUCCUGGACCGACACUGACGCUGAGGCGCGAAAGCUAGGGGAGCAAACGGGAUUAGAUACCCCGGUAGUCCUAGCUGUAAACGAUGAGUGCUGGGUGUAGGGGGUCCUAACCCCCCUGUGCCGAAGCUAACGCAUUAAGCACUCCGCCUGGGGAGUACGGUCGCAAGGCUGAAACUCAAAAGAAUUGACGGA